rnacentral:rRNA from 1 species
GAUGAACGCUGGCGGCGUGCCUAAUACAUGCGAGUCGAGCGAACAGACGAGGAGCUUGCUCCUCUGACGUUAGCGGCGGACGGGUGAGUAACACGUGGAUAACCUACCUAUAAGACUGGGAUAACUUCGGGAAACCGGAGCUAAUACCGGAUAAUAUAUUGAACCGCAUGGUUCAAUAGUGAAAGACGGUCUUGCUGUCACUUAUAGAUGGAUCCGCGCUGCAUUAGCUAGUUGGUAAGGUAACGGCUUACCAAGGCAACGAUGCAUAGCCGCCCUGAGAGGGUGAUCGGCCACACUGGAACUGAGACACGGCCCAGACUCCUACGGGAGGCAGCAGUAGGGAAUCUUCCGCAAUGGGCGAAAGCGUGACGGAGCAACGCCGCGUGAGUGAUGAAGGUCUUCGGAUCGUAAAACUCUGUUAUUAGGGAAGAACAAAUGUGUAAGUAACUAUGCACGUCUUGACGGUACCUAAUCAGAAAGCCACGGCUAACUACGUG